rnacentral:lncRNA from 1 species
CUAAAUCACAAAAAGAAAAUCUUAAGAGCAACCAAAGGAAAAAAGACCUAUUCAAUAGGACUGACAGCUAAUUUUCCAUUGGGAAAAGGAAGAAAACAAAAAAAAGGAAGUCAGAAAAAAAAUGGAUUGGUAUUUUCAAAGUGUUCAUGGAGUAUAAUUUAAGAUAGACAAAAGCAAAGGUAUAAAUAAGAGAAUAAAAGAAUAAUGUAUAUAAACUAUAUAUAUAUACUCUGACAAAUAGAAAUAAAGCAAAUAAAAAGGAGGAGAAGGGGAGAAGGGAUGUGUAAAAGACACUGACAAGCCAACUCCAGUGUUCAUCGCAGCACUAUAUGCAAGAGCCAAGACGUGGAAACAACCUAAAUGUCCAUCGCCAGAGGAGUGGAUCAAGAAGAUGGGGUACAUAGACACAAUGGAAUAUUACUCAGCCAUUAAAAGGAAAGAAAUAACGGCAUUUGCAGCAACAUGGAUGGACCUAGAAAUUAUCAUGCUAAGUGAAGUCAGUCAGACAGUGAGACACCAACAUCAUAUGCUGUCCCUUAUAUGUGGCAUCUAAAAAAAGGACACAAUGAACUUUGCAGAACAGAUACUGACUCACAGACUUUGAAAAACUUCUGGUUUCCAAAUGAGACAGGUUGGGGCGUUGGGGGCAAUGCGCUGGGGGUUUGAGAUGAAAAUGCUAUAAUUUGGUUGUGGUGAUCAUUGUACAGCUAUAAAUGUAAUAAUAAAAUUCAUUGAGUAAUAUAAAAAAAAGCUGACAAGCCAAAUAGUAGGAGAUUAAGUAAGGAGAAAGGAAGGUUCUGAACAUUAAAGAAGGUAUUAAUAUGAAGAUAAGCACUAGAACAAAAGUACCUCCUCUCUGAGAUAGAAAAAAAAGGCUGUAAAAUGAAUACAGCAUGAUAGUAAGUAAAAAUAAUAAACAGUGUGACAGGGUUGAGACUGAAUAUGUCAGUGAUAUAAAAAUAUAAAUGAGCUGAAAUUCAUCUAAAUGAAAGAAAAACAUUUGCAGUUUGGCUCUCAAGCAAAAUACAACUCUUUGCUGUAUACGAGAGACAUACCUAAAACAAAAGGAUCCAGAAAGACUGAAAUUAGCAGGAUGACUGAAAGACAUGUACGAGAAUGUUCUUAGGAGUUCCUGCUGUGGCACGGUGGGUUGAGGACCUGGAGUUCCUGCUGUGGCCUAGUGGGUUAAGGACCUGGAGGGGCCGCAGUUGUGGUGUGGGUUGCAGCUGUGGCUUGGAUUCGA